GACGAACGCUGGCGGCGUGCCUAAUACAUGCAAGUAGAACGCUGAAGGAGGAGCUUGCUCUUCUGGAUGAGUUGCGAACGGGUGAGUAACGCGUAGGUAACCUGCCUGGUAGCGGGGGAUAACUAUUGGAAACGAUAGCUAAUACCGCAUAACAGUAGAUGUUGCAUGACAUUUACUUAAAAGGUGCAAUUGCAUCACUACCAGAUGGACCUGCGUUGUAUUAGCUAGUUGGUGGGGUAACGGCUCACCAAGGCGACGAUACAUAGCCGACCUGAGAGGGGGAUCGGCCACACUGGGACUGAAGCACGGCCCAGGAUCCUACGGGAGGCAGCAGUAGGGAAUCUUCGGCAAUGGACGGAAGUCUGACCGAGCAACGCCGCGUGAGUGAAGAAGGGUUUCGGAUCGUAAAGAUCUGUUGUAAGAGAAGAACGAGUGUGAGAGUGGAAAGUUCACACUGUGACGGUAUCUUACCAGAAAGGGACGGCUAACUACGUG
rnacentral:rRNA from 1 species